CACUAAAGUUUUCCCCCAAAUCCAGGGUUUUUAUAACUGCUCAACUUGACUUUUAAGAACUGAAAUUGCAUAAAAAUAUUCUUUUACUAAUUUUCAGAAUUCAAACAUAAGCAGUUAUUUCAACCAAUGGGAAAACGACCUGUCUUCAUCACUGUGCCUUUCGGGUUGAUUCGAAGGAGACUUGACUGAUAUUCCUCGCAGAUCGAGAAACCACAUCAAAGUUUUAUGACUUUGACUAGAAAUAUGACGUCAUUUCAAUCAUAAUUUUUCUCAAGCACCGACAUUGGAUCCAUAGAGAGCCUUGUCUAUAAUCAGUAUGACAUUGAGAUAUUUCUCCGACUUAGUGAUAGGCCUCAUGAAGCUGGUUACCCGGUGUCCACGUAAACAAGAUCAUAAUAUUCAUUCUGUACGGGACAACGAUCCAUUGCAGGAAUCAAGAUAAGCAAUUUUUGUGAGAGGAGUGGCCGGUUACAUCGACCACAAUAGUUGGCUGACAUAUUAUUUUAUAAACUACGGAGAUUUGGCAGGAGCUUUUAACACUGACGAUUUGGCAACGGUGACUGAAAAUUAAACCCGUUUUGGUGACUGUACGUUUUGAUACUGGAGGCGCGCGCGCACAGAGAUAUGCACAUACAGAAAGAGGGAAACAGAGAAAGAUAUCACACAUAUUGUUGUGUCGACGCCCCCAGACGAUGAAGUAGGCUAGCCCAAUACGUAGAUAUAGUGGAAGAAGUCUAGACGUCGAAGUAAUUGAGUAGAGGUCAUCCGAACGUGCGAUAUAACAGUGGCGACGAAGAUGAGAUGCUGACACAAUACAGUAGUAUUGCGAUAUAACAGUGGCGACGAGGAUUUUGUAGCUCACACAGCCACCGUGUAGUAUUGUGAU
rnacentral:lncRNA from 1 species